GGCGUGGUGGCAGAGUGGUCUGAUGCGCAAGACUAGAAAUCUUGUUCAAGAAUGCUGUUCAAAUCAGGCCCACGUCG